AUGAUCCUCUCGGCGUUCCUGCUGCUCUGCUGCGCCGUCGCCACCUGGACCGUGUCCCCGGCCAAGUCGCGCCAAAGCGAAAGCCCAUCAUCUGAAAUGGGAGCAGAUCGUCAGGCUUAUGCUACCUUGGACCAGGUGAAGGCGGCUCUUCAGCGGGUGGGGCUCGAGUCGUCCAACCUCAUCAUCGGGGUGGAUUUCACCAAGAGCAACCAGUGGACAGGGAAGCGGUGCUUCGCCGGGAGGAGCCUGCACGACCUCGGCGCCGGCCCGAACCCGUACGAGGAGGCCAUCGGCAUCGUCGGCGACACGCUGUCGGCCUUCGACGAGGACAACGCCAUCCCCUGCUUCGGCUUCGGGGACACGUCCACGCACGACCAGGGCGUGUUCAGCUUCUACGGCGACGGGCGGCCGUGCGCCGGCGUCCCGGAGGCGCUGCUGCGGUACCGGGAGAUCGCCGCCACCGUUCAGCUCUCCGGCCCGACAUCCUUGGCGCCGAUCAUAGAGGCUGCAAUGGGGAUAGUCCAGCGCUCCGGGCAUCAGUACCACAUCCUGCUGAUAAUCGCUGACGGGCAGGUUCCGAGAGGUUGCGGCGCUCAUCGCGCGAGCUCCCCGGACGAAUCAAGAUCGGAGAACUACAUGGAGGAGAGGACUCUUCAGGCCCUCAUUCAUGCCAGCCAUUUCCCUCUCUCCAUCGUCCUCGUCGGGGUCGGGGACGGGCCAUGGGACGACGAUCAGAUGCGGUUCCACGACGGCAGACGCCGGUUCGAUAACUUCCAGUUUGUAGAUUUCACCAAGAUCAUGUCGGCGGAGAUGUCCCGCGCCGAGAAGGGGGAGCGGUUCGCGCUCGAGGCACUGGAGAAGAUCCCAAGCCAGUACGCUGCGAUCGUCAGCCAGCGGAUCAGUGAUCUGGCUGCGAUGGCGCCUGCGAGGACGCCUCUUCCUCCUCCAUCCUGA
rnacentral:rRNA from 1 species